rnacentral:rRNA from 1 species
AUUGAACGCUGGCGGCAUGCUUUACACAUGCAAGUCGAACGGUAACAGGCCUUCGGGUGCUGACGAGUGGCGAACGGGUGAGUAAUGCAUCGGAACGUGCCCAGAGGUGGGGGAUAACGCAGCGAAAGCUGUGCUAAUACCGCAUGUGAUCUGAGGAUGAAAGCGGGGGACCAGGCAGCAAUGUUUGGCCUCGCGCCUUUGGAGCGGCCGAUGUCAGAUUAGGUAGUUGGUGGGGUAAAGGCCUACCAAGCCGACGAUCUGUAGCUGGUCUGAGAGGACGACCAGACACACUGGGACUGAGACACGGCCCAGACUCCUACGGGAGGCAGCAGUGGGGAAUUUUGGACAAUGGGCGCAAGCCUGAUCCAGCAAUGCCGCGUGCGGGAAGAAGGCCUUCGGGUUGUAAACCGCUUUUGUACGGAACGAAAAGGCUCUGGCUAAUACCUGGGGCUGAUGACGGUACCGUAAGAAUAAGCACCGGCUAACUACGUG